UCUUCAUUUCCCUCACUCUCUCAUCGAUCAGAGUGGCGAGAUAGUGUUCGAAAUGAAGAGA
rnacentral:pre_miRNA from 1 species